GCCUGGCAGGCUCAGUCAGUGGAGCAUGAGACUCUUGAUCUCGGGGUUGUGAGUUCAAGCCCCCCGUUGGGUA
rnacentral:tRNA from 1 species